ACGACGACGACGACGACGACGACCACAACAACAACAACAACAACAACAACAACAACAACAACAACAACAACAACAACGACAACAACAACAACAAUAACAAUAACGAAGACGAAUUUGACGACGAUAACAGCAACAGCAACAACAACAACAACAACAACAACAACAACAACAACAACAACAACAAUACAACAACAACAACAAUAACAACAACGACAACAACAACAACAACAACAACAACAAC
rnacentral:lncRNA from 1 species